rnacentral:rRNA from 1 species
AUUGAACGCUGGCGGCAUGCCUUACACAUGCAAGUCGAACGGCAGCACGGAGCUUGCUCUGGUGGCGAGUGGCGAACGGGUGAGUAAUGUAUCGGAACGUACCCUAGAGUGGGGGAUAACGUAGCGAAAGUUACGCUAAUACCGCAUACGAUCUAAGGAUGAAAGUGGGGGAUCGCAAGACCUCAUGCUCGUGGAGCGGCCGAUAUCUGAUUAGCUAGUUGGUAGGGUAAAAGCCUACCAAGGCGUCGAUCAGUAGCUGGUCUGAGAGGACGACCAGCCACACUGGAACUGAGACACGGUCCAGACUCCUACGGGAGGCAGCAGUGGGGAAUUUUGGACAAUGGGCGAAAGCCUGAUCCAGCAAUGCCGCGUGAGUGAAGAAGGCCUUCGGGUUGUAAAGCUCUUUUGUCAGGGAAGAAACGGUGAGAGCUAAUAUCUCUUGCUAAUGACGGUACCUGAAGAAUAAGCACCGGCUAACUACGUGCCAGCAGCCGCGGUAAUACGUAGGGUGCAAGCGUUAAUCGGAAUUACUGGGCGUAAAGCGUGCGCAGGCGGUUUUGUAAGUCUGAUGUGAAAUCCCCGGGCUCAACCUGGGAAUUGCAUUGGAGACUGCAAGGCUAGAAUCUGGCAGAGGGGGGUAGAAUUCCACGUGUAGCAGUGAAAUGCGUAGAUAUGUGGAGGAACACCGAUGGCGAAGGCAGCCCCCUGGGUCAAGAUUGACGCUCAUGCACGAAAGCGUGGGGAGCAAACAGGAUUAGAUACCCUGGUAGUCCACGCCCUAAACGAUGUCUACUAGUUGUCGGGUCUUAAUUGACUUGGUAACGCAGCUAACGCGUGAAGUAGACCGCCUGGGGAGUACGGUCGCAAGAUUAAAACUCAAAGGAAUUGACGGGGACCCGCACAAGCGGUGGAUGAUGUGGAUUAAUUCGAUGCAACGCGAAAAACCUUACCUACCCUUGACAUGGCUGGAAUCCUUGAGAGAUCAGGGAGUGCUCGAAAGAGAACCAGUACACAGGUGCUGCAUGGCUGUCGUCAGCUCGUGUCGUGAGAUGUUGGGUUAAGUCCCGCAACGAGCGCAACCCUUGUCAUUAGUUGCUACGAAAGGGCACUCUAAUGAGACUGCCGGUGACAAACCGGAGGAAGGUGGGGAUGACGUCAAGUCCUCAUGGCCCUUAUGGGUAGGGCUUCACACGUCAUACAAUGGUACAUACAGAGCGCCGCCAACCCGCGAGGGGGAGCUAAUCGCAGAAAGUGUGUCGUAGUCCGGAUUGUAGUCUGCAACUCGACUGCAUGAAGUUGGAAUCGCUAGUAAUCGCGGAUCAGCAUGUCGCGGUGAAUACGUUCCCGGGUCU